AUUGAACGCUGGCGGCAGGCCUAACACAUGCACGUCGAACGAGUGGCGGACGGGUGAGUAAUGUCUGGGAAACUGCUUGAUGGAGGGGGAUAACUACUGGAAAAGGUAGCUAAUACCGCAUACCAUCAGAUGUGCCCAGAUGGGAUUAGCUAGUUGGUGGGGUAAUGGCUCACCUAGGCGACGAUCCCUAGCUGGUCUGAGAGGAUGACCAGCCACACUGGAACGGAGACACGUUCCAGACUCCUACGGGAGGCAGCAGGGGGGAAUAUUGCACAAUGGGCGCAAGCCUGAUGCAGCCAUGCCGCGUGUGUGAAGAAGGCCUUCGGGUUGUAAAGUACUUUCAGCGAGGAGGCGUUACCCGCAGAAGAAGCACCGGCUAACUCCGUGCCAGCAGCCGCGGUAAUUC
rnacentral:rRNA from 1 species